rnacentral:rRNA from 1 species
UUGUCUCAAAGAUUAAGCCAUGCAUGUCUCAGUACAAGCCGCAUUAAGGUGAAACCGCGAAAGGCUCAUUAAAUCAGUUAUGGUUCCUUAGAUCGUACCCACAUUUACUUGGAUAACUGUGGUAAUUCUAGAGCUAAUACAUGCAAACAGAGUUCCGACCGGAGACGGGAGGAAUGCUUUUAUUAGAUCAAAACCAAUCGGCGGCGGGCGCGCUCGCGCGCCCGUUCGCCGCUCAACUUGGUGACUCUGAAUAACUUUCGGCUGAUCGCACGGUCUCGCACCGGCGACGCAUCUUUCAAAUGUCUGCCUUAUCAACUGUCGAUGGUAGGUUCUGCGCCUACCAUGGUCGUAACGGGUAACGGGGAAUCAGGGUUCGAUUCCGGAGAGGGAGCCUGAGAAACGGCUACCACAUCCAAGGAAGGCAGCAGGCGCGCAAAUUACCCACUCCCGGCACGGGGAGGUAGUGACGAAAAAUAACGAUACGGGACUCAUCCGAGGCCCCGUAAUCGGAAUGAGUACACUUUAAAUCCUUUAACGAGGAUCAAUUGGAGGGCAAGUCUGGUGCCAGCAGCCGCGGUAAUUCCAGCUCCAAUAGCGUAUAUUAAAGUUGUUGCGGUUAAAAAGCUCGUAGUUGAAUCUGUGUCUCGCGCUGUCGGUUCACCGCCCGCGGUGUUAAACUGGCACGCCCGCGAGACGUCCUGCCGGUGGGGCGGCGCGUCGGCCUGCGCCGGCGCCCGUCCCGACUUGGAAUCCUACCGCGGUGCUCUUCACUGAGUGUCGAGGUGGGCCGGCACGUUUACUUUGAACAAAUUAGAGUGCUCAAAGCAGGCUAAAACUUCGCCUGAAUACUGUGUGCAUGGAAUAAUGGAACAGGACCUCGGUUCUAUUUUGUUGGUUUUCGGAACCCCGAGGUAAUGAUUAAUAGGGACAGAUGGGGGCAUUCGUAUUGCGACGUUAGAGGUGAAAUUCUUGGACCGUCGCAAGACGGACAGAAGCGAAAGCAUUUGCCAAAAAUGUUUUCAUUAAUCAAGAACGAAAGUCAGAGGUUCGAAGGCGAUCAGAUACCGCCCUAGUUCUGACCAUAAACGAUGCCAGCUAGCGAUCCGCCGACGUUCCUCCGAUGACUCGGCGGGCAGCUUCCGGGAAACCAAAGCUUUUGGGUUCCGGGGGAAGUAUGGUUGCAAAGCUGAAACUUAAAGGAAUUGACGGAAGGGCACCACCAGGAGUGGAGCCUGCGGCUUAAUUUGACUCAACACGGGAAACCUCACCAGGCCCGGACACCGGAAGGAUUGACAGAUUGAGAGCUCUUUCUUGAUUCGGUGGGUGGUGGUGCAUGGCCGUUCUUAGUUGGUGGAGUGAUUUGUCUGGUUAAUUCCGAUAACGAACGAA